CAGCUAGUUGGUGAGGUAAAAGCCCACCAAGGCAUAGAUCGGUAGCCGGCCUGAGAGGGCACACGGCCACACUGGCACUGAAACACGGGCCAGACUCCUACGGGAGGCAGCAGUGGGGAAUCUUGCACAAUGGGGGAAACCCUGAUGCAGCGACGCCGCGUGAGCGAUGAAGCCCUUCGGGGUGUAAAGCUCUUUCGGCAGGGAAGAUUAUGACGGUACCUGCAGAAGCAGCUGCGGCUAACUACGUGCCAGCAGCCGCGGUAAUACGUAGGCAGCGAGCGUUGUUCGGAGUUACUGGGCGUAAAGGGUGUGUAGGCGGUUCUUUAAGUUUGGUGUGAAAUCUCCCGGCUCAACUGGGAGGGUGCGCCGAAUACUGAGGGACUAGAGUACGGGAGAGGAAAGUGGAACUCCUGGUGUAGCGGUGAAAUGCGUAGAUAUCAGGAGGAACACCGGUGGUGUAGACGGCUUUCUGGACCGUAACUGACGCUGAGAC
rnacentral:rRNA from 1 species